rnacentral:rRNA from 1 species
GAUGAACGCUGGCGGCGUGCUUAACACAUGCAAGUCGAACGAAGCACCUUGAUUUGAUUCUUCGGAUGAAGAUCUUGGUGACUGAGUGGCGGACGGGUGAGUAACGCGUGGGUAACCUGCCUCAUACAGGGGGAUAACAGUUAGAAAUGACUGCUAAUACCGCAUAAGACCACAGCACCGCAUGGUGCAGGGGUAAAAACUCCGGUGGUAUGAGAUGGACCCGCGUCUGAUUAGGUAGUUGGUGGGGUAACGGCCUACCAAGCCGACGAUCAGUAGCCGACCUGAGAGGGUGACCGGCCAAAUUGGGACUGAGACACGGCCCAAACUCCUACGGGAGGCAGCAGUGGGGAAUAUUGCACAAUGGGGGAAACCCUGAUGCAGCGACGCCGCGUGAGCGAUGAAGUAUUUCGGUAUGUAAAGCUCUAUCAGCAGGGAAGAAAAUGACGGUACCUGACUAAGAAGCACCGGCUAAAUACGU